rnacentral:tRNA from 1 species
GCGGAAGUAGCUCAGUUGGUAGAGCGUCAGCCUUCCAAGCUGAAUGUCGCGGGUUCGAGCCUCGUCUUCCGCU